rnacentral:rRNA from 1 species
UACGUAGGUGGCAAGCGUUGUCCGGAAUUAUUGGGCGUAAAGCGCGCGCAGGCGGUCCUUUAAGUCUGAUGUGAAAUCACGUGGCUCAACCACGUGCGGUCAUUGGAAACUGGGAAACUUGAGUGCAGGAGAGGAAAGUGGAAUUCCAAGUGUAGCGGUGGAAUGCGUAGAUAUUUGGAGGAACACCAGUGGCGAAGGCGACUUUCUGGUCUGUAACUGACACUGAGGCUCGAAAGCGUGGGGAGCGAACAGGAUUAGAUACCCU